ACCUUACUAGCCUAUAUAAAUCAACCAUUUAUAAAUACACAUUAGUAGGCUAAAUGAACCUCUUCAACAUAUUACGUUUCUAUCCUUUCCGAUAUUUUAUUGGGGAAAAAACAGCAUACUGGCACCAUACAUAUUUUGAUUAUUGUUUCUUAGCUGUUUGUAAAUGUUGCAGUUUAUAAAUAAAAAUUUAUAAAAAAAUAAAAUAAAAAAGUAGUCUCUGCGCAUGCGCAUAGCAUAGAUUCAACGACUCGAUGACUAAAUUAAUCGCCAACUAUUUUUAUAAUCGAUUUUAAUCGAUUAGUUGUUGCAGCCCUACUCUAAAUCAAUAAAAAUAAUCAAAUAUCCUCACUAAGCCAAAGAGGUUCAUUAGGUCUUCAACAAAUUGUGCAAUUUGUUAAUCUUAUCGCCAGACCUGUGUUGUUUAUUUCCGUAUCUGACGGAGAGGCUGUCACGUGAUGUCAACCUAUUAGUGUUUUUAUUGAAACUUGUUUGAAUUUAUUUUUAUCUAAAAUACUCGAAAUAAAUGAUAGAAUCUCAAAUAUCCUCAAUGUUAUUUUAUCCUUUUACCUACUUUUAACUAACUAGCUAAUUAAUAAAACCCUGAAUACGAGUCCCAGAAUGCAUUGCGUUCGUGGGGGUGGGGGAAGGGCGCUGUCACUCACGAACCUUUCCCAUGUUCCUCCACUGAUUAAUGUAUUUUCUUAUAAGGCCGAGAAGCAGACACAAGUUUUUAUUUUUUAAGCUUCUACCUACUUAAACUAUUACCUACGUAAACUUGCUAGCUAAUAAAUAAAACCUGUUAAUUAACUAGCCAAUUAAUAAAACCCUGGAUACUAGUCCCAGAAUGCAUUGCGUUAGUGGAGGGGCACCGCCACUCACAAAUAUGUCCCUUGUUCCUCCACUGAUUAAUGUAUUUUCUUUUAAGCCCGAGAAGCAGACACAAGUUUUUAUUUUAAACUGCUACCUACUUAAACUUUUACCUACUUAAACAAUUUAGCUAAUAAAUAAAACACAGAUACUGCAAUUCCCAGAAUGCAUAGCGUUCGUUGGUGCCGCCGUCAAGAAGCUGACUCAUGUUCCUCCACAGUUUCACUCCUAAGCGGUCGUCUCAACUUCUACGUGUGACUUUGGAUGACUGGCAAGGUGUUUGAUCUGCAGCCUGUUUGCAUGAAUCGUGCCGGAGGGAAAGCUCGUCCUUUGGGGAAGGAAAGAGUCUUCAUCUUCAUAUUCAGCACGGCGACGACGACAUCUGCUCGUACUCGGGACACUUGAGGAGGGCGGGGUAGUUGGACGAGUUCAUCUGGAGGGACGCCUCGGAGGAGAUGGAGGACGGGCUGCGGCCACGCCCGGCCCAGGCGUCCGGGUGGAGGAACUGGCCCGAGUAGUCGGAGCAGUUGCUGAGUCGAGGGCGGUAGAAGCCUUGGUGGGGCCGAUACAUUUCCGCUGCCGUGUAGCGCUUCAUGAACAGGUGAGUAGAAUACCUGACAGGAUGAAGAAGAUUCCCGAAACAAAAGCCAGGAUGGUGCGAUGAGGUCGAAUGUGGCCGAUGUUGCUGAGGACAAAACCAAUGAACAUGAAGAAGAGGCUGACCAGGGGGAAAGGUGUGGCUGAGCGAAUCAUCUCUGCAACAAAAGAAGAAAAUAAUCCAUAAAAAAAA